rnacentral:rRNA from 1 species
UACGUAGGUGGCAAGCGUUGUCCGGAUUUACUGGGCGUAAAGGGAGCGUAGGCGGAUACUUAAGUGGGAUGUGAAAUACCUGGGCUUAACUUGGGUGCUGCAUUCCAAACUGGGUGUCUAGAGUGUUGGAGAGGAAAGUGGAAUUCCUAGUGUAGCGGUGAAAUGCGUAGAGAUUAGGAAGAACACCAGUGGCGAAGGCGACUUUCUGGACAAUAACUGACGCUGAGGCUCGAAAGCGUGGGGAGCAAACAGGAU